rnacentral:rRNA from 1 species
CCUACGGGCGGCAGCAGUGAGGAAUAUUGGUCAAUGGGCGCGACCCUGAACCAGCCAAGUAGCGUGAAGGAUGACUGCCCUACGGGUUGUAAACUUCUUUUAUAAAGGAAUAAACUGAGUCACGUGUGCUUUUUUGUAGGUACUUCAUGAAUAAGGACCGGCUAAUUCCGUGCCAGCAGCCGCGGUAAUACGGAGGGUCCGAGCGUUAUCCGGAUUUAUUGGGUUUAAAGGGAGCGUAGAUGGGUCGUUAAGCGUGUUGUGAAAGUUUGCGGCUCAACCGUAAAAUUGCAAUUGGUACUGGGAGUCUUGAGUGCAGCUGAGGUAGGCGGAAUUCGUGGUGUAGCGGUGAAAUGCUUAGAUAUCACGAAGAACUCCGAUUGCGAAGGCAGCUUACCAAAGUGCCACUGACGUUGAGGCUCGAAGGUGGGGGUAUCAAACAGGAUUAGAUACCCGGGUAGUC